CUGAAAUCAGGCUGAGUCUUGAAUCCAUGAUGGUCAUUCGUCAGUUGCCAGCCUUGUUCUCUUUCCUGGUGGGAAAUGAAGACAGUCUUAUCAGGAAGGACGUUCCAAGGGCUUAGAGGUUACCCCCAGGAGCCAGGGACAAAGGGACAAACCUUUCUUUGGGUGAGGUUAACCCUUUGCCCUGAGCGGCCCUGAGAAGGUGACGUCGGCUGAGAGAGGAGGGCUUGGCCAGCACACCGAGUCAGCGUGGGACGCUCGGCCACCGGGGAGAGUAGAUGGCGUUCCCCAACACGGGAGGCACAGAUUCCAGGGUGUUCGGAGUUGUCAACAUCACCCCAGACGGGUGUUCUUCAACACAUGAAACACGUGGAGCAGGGAUGUGUCUGUCGGCCCCGAGCCAGCAAGCCCAGGCUGCUUCUCCUCCCUCCAGGAGCGUCAUUACGCCAGCUGCCUUCACGCUCGCUCACCAAAAAGGAAGGUGCAUGCGUGUGUGUAUAUUACAUUCUACAGUCAUGUACGGCAUAUACGCCUGACUGCAUAUACAGUGACGGUCCCAUGAGAUUAAUACCACACAGCCCAGAUGUGUAGCAGGCUAUACCAUCCAGGUUUGGGAUGGGACAGAGCGUGGCAGAGACGACUGCAGCCCUGCCUCUCCCCCGUCUGCUCCCCUUCUCCCUCACCCAGGAGGAUGGAGUCCAUGGCCACAAGCCUUUGUCUUUCUCAGGCUCUGCCCAUUGGAUGAGGAGCCUGAAGCACAGCGAGCUUAAGUGACUGGCCUUGGGGCGCACAGCUAAUUACCCCAGAUUCAAACAGAGCCAAACCAUCGGUGGAAACAGCGAGGCUUUGUCUUGGCGAUUCUGUGGGGAUGCACACCCCCCGUAGCGCCGCCUUCGCCGAUGCUCAGCACACCGCAGACGCCUCAGCGCACCGAAAGAAACAUAGAAUGGGACAGCCGCCUCGACCGGUUCUGCGGAAACAAAGCCAUCAAUAUUGUUUUAAAUUUCGCUUCUUCCUUUUUAAAUGGUGGUGCAUUUUAAACGAUGAUUACAUCUUAGCUGGGUGAAAGUAAUAAUCUUAUGGGAAAUACAGUGUAGGGAGAUUUCACCCUUCCUCUCCGUCCCAGCCCACCGGGUACCCUUCCUGGCAGCCACAUCUGUUACACAUUCCUGAAGGGGUAGUUCUAAGCACAUGGCAUUGUCAGCCCCAUUGCCCUCCCCCCCUUUUUUUUUUAACAGGAUAGUACUUUUUGCACCCAUUUUUCUGCAACUUUCUAUGUUCAAUUUAAUGUGAAGACUGCACAGCAGAGGUGAAAAGAACGGACUGAACCCGACUAAGUUUGACUCCGGCCUCUCCUCUUGCUGUGCUGGGACUCUGAGCCAGUUGUUUAACCUCUAGUGCCUCAUUUUCCUCAGCUCUAAAAUGGGGAUUGCCAUGAGGGUUGCAUGAAUGAAAAUCUGCAAAGCACCUAGAGUGGUACCUAAUAAAACACACAUAUGCGU
rnacentral:lncRNA from 1 species